AAAUGGGACCUGUCCUGAAGACUUUACUGGACUGUUAUUUACAGUAGCCUCACUCUCCGUCCAUCUGCUCAAAACCCAGCCAUGUAAAGCUGCUUCCUGUCUUUACCCAUGUUCUGGGACUAGCCCCAGUGUGAAGCUGAGCUGCAUCUGGGCUGAGCAUAAUGGAGAACUGGUGGAAAUAAAAGUUCUU